GUUAAACAAUUGGGACAUACUACUUCUUCAUAACAUUGCACCUUGAACUUUGACCCUCCUGCUCAUGUAUGCUGAGGAAUGUAGGUAAGAACUAGCCAG